UAAUUAAGCGGAGGAAAAGAAACUAACUAGGAUUGGUCCAGUAACGGCGAGUGAAGCGCCACUAGCCCAGCAUGUGAAUCGUCACUUGUGUCGAAUUGUGGUCUGUAGGUUUCUCCAUUCAGCUGGUGGACAAAGUCCCCUGGAACGGGGCAGCUUAGAGGGUGAGACUCCCGUAUGUCUACUGGCGUGAGGUGAGAUUCUGUGAGUCGAGUUGUUUGGGAUUGCAGCUCUAAGUGGGUGGUAAAUUCCAUCUAAGGCUAAAUACUGGUGAGAGACCGAUAGCGUACAAGUACCGUGAGGGAAAGAUGCAAAGCCGCGCGAGAGCGCUGUCAAAGAGUACCUGAACUUGCUGAAAAGGAAGCAAAGGAAACCAGUGUUAGCCAUCCCGCAUUUCCUUGUCUGCUUGCAGUUAAGGCGCUGCGGCUGGUGUUGUCCCUGUUGGGGGUCCUCUGUGGAAGAGUCUUUUGACUGGCAUGGAGGGUUCCUGAGAAGGACGAAAUG
rnacentral:rRNA from 1 species